UACUAUUUUUUGCAAGAGGAAAAAAAUUUAAAAAUCUCCAUCAGUGUGCGAAAUUUGAUGGAAAAGAUUUUUGGAAACUCGUUCGGUUGAGUGAAAUUGUAUUUGUAGGUGGUUUUUGUUCCUUCAACAAGUAGAGGUGAAUAGCAUUUUUGUUGUCCCCUCUAUGGAAGUUUGAGUGUGGAAAGACGCAUAAUGCAACCUUGGAAGGCUCUUGUUAAGAAUAUUACAGUUGAACAUUUGGUUGCCUAAUGGUGGUGUGGUCAUGGGUGAUCUUAUAAUGCUAUUCUAGAAGGUUUAGGAGCCCUACAAGAAGAACUGGAGCUCUAACAGAUUACAAUAUAAGUUAAGUUGCUCUUUUAUAGAUUUGGAUUUUCAAAACCCUAUAAUAAGCUAAUUGUCGUAAAGUGGAAAUACGAUGAAUUAUAAUUAUAUUAGCCAACUAUGCAAACUUCAUUGUGAGAUUCAAUUUUUUUCUCUUUUAGGUGGGUUGUGAGACUUCUUGAAGACUUUGAUAAGACUCUAAGAGGAUUUUGAUAUUAAAAGGGCGAUGAUGAGGGGACUGAAUAUUGAGAAUUUAGCCUUGAUUUCUAUCAUAUCAGAUGAGAAGCAAGAAGCAAAUCUCUUUAUGAAAAAGUAGAACAACUACUUGGAUUUAUGAGCCGAGCAUAAUUCUUCUCUACUUCCUCAUUUAACAUAGCCUAAAGAGGUUGUUCCCAUUGUAUACAUGUAAGUGACAUAUUCCUUCUUCGGGAUUGUAUAUAGGCUCUUUAGUUUACCAUUUUUGUUCAUGAUGUUUUUGGAAGCAUCAGUUGUCUUUAUCAAUUUUUGUCAUUUCAUUUCUCAAAAUCUGGAAGUAACACUUUGCAACCACUGUCUGAGUAUGUUUCAGGUUUGGCCCAUCAUCUAAAGAUGGUUGCAAUCAAUAACUCGCAUGAAAUGGUAAACAAACUUGAUAUCAAUUUUUGCUCAACUAUGGGAAGGUGAAGGGAUGCAGUUUUCAUGAAUGAAUAGGAAGAUUAAUUGGAAAAGCUCAGAUUCUCAGAAGGUACCAAUUUGGCUUUCUCCAGUCAAUUACUAGAGUUUCUAUUCUCACUGGUGUUUCCCAAGAUUUGAUGUGGGAAUAUUUGACCCAUCUGGGAGUAGGCUUCAGAUUUUGGAUUUGUGAAACCUUAUCUGAAUAAAUCCUUGUCUUCUCUGUCAUUUUGCUGUUUGGAUUUUACUGUCUUCAUCUGCAUUUUUCCGUUUUGGGCCUUGGUUUAUUGUUUGCAGAAGUUUUCAACUCAAACCAUACACCAUGUUUAAGGGGUAGAAGUUAGGUGCUGAUAGGUUGUAUAUGAAGUUGAUUAUAUUUGAAUAGAGAUUGAAUUGUGUUUCUAUCAAUUUCAGUUAACUACUA